CCGCAGAUGCUACGAGUAAACUGAAAAAGUUUGAAUCAUGACCGCACGAUAACUCGCCCAAACCUUACACCAACUACCAGGCCGGCCUUACGGAGCUUUGUCAUCUUUGGUGUAUUUAAUAAGUUUUUAAAACAAUAUGGCGCACUAGCAGGCAUUUAUUUUUCAACGGCUAUGGCGGCGGAGUCGAGCAGCGGAAAGAUGAGACGGCUGUUCCUCCCCCAAUGGAUGGCACUAUUUCUCUCGCGAUUAAUUCGUCGAUGUCUCAAGUUGAGCAUGAGUUGGUGUGCCAGCAACGACUGCAUCAGUUUGCUCGAUUAGUUAGGCUAUUACAGUAGGGUGAGGAGGAUGAGCGAAUUACAUAAGCGCAGACACAACAACGUAAUGGGGUGAGAUCGGUACAUCGACAUGAACGACAACGGUUACUUCAUUUGGAACCACCCAAGACGAUACAUCAGGUUAGAACAUACUUCAUUAUUCUUCUUUCUUUCAAUUCUAAAUGCGUGGGCAUCGAUGGUGGAUAUCGUUCAGCAGCAGCGAUGGUUGUACACCGAGUGGUCUGGAUUAUGACUGUUGCUUUGCAUGCAUGGAGGCUGGACAUAUGAGAUACCGAUGGUAAUUCUCGUCACUUGUCUGUACUUAAUUUCUUUUUCUAAUAUUUAUAUUUUGAAAUUUGUUGGUACUAUAUGGUUAUAUGAACUUUUAAUUUGGGAUUAUGGAUUAUGAGACUUUGUUAUAUAUAUUGUGAUCGGUUUGCGUUUGUUCGGGAUUUGAAUUUUGAGUUGGGAUUUGAAUAGUAAAAAUUUUGAAUUUGAAUAGUUGUAUGAUGUGAUAUAAAUAGUAGUAUGAUGUGAUAUUUUGAAAAUAAAAUAUAGGUGUUUGAUUUGAUA